AGUCGGACGAUCGGGUUUUUGUAGCAAUACGAGGACUCUGAGUGGCGAAUGGGUGAGUAACGCGUUGAUGACCUGCCCCGAAGUGGGGAAUAACUCCGGGAAACUGGAGCUAAUACCGCAUGUGGUCAUACGAAUUAGAACAGUAUGACUAAAGGACUUCGGUUCGCUUCGGGAGGGGCCUGCGUUCCAUCAGCUAGUUGGUAGGGUAAUGGCCUACCAAGGCGACGACGGAUAGGGGGCCUGAGAGGGUGGCCCCCCACACUGGCACUGAAACACGGGCCAGACACCUACGGGUGGCAGCAGUAGGGAAUAUUGCACAAUGGGCGAAAGCCUGAUGCAGCAACGCCGCGUGCGCGAUGAAGGCCUUCGGGUUGUAAAGCGUUUUUCUGAAGGAAGAGGAAGGACGGUACUUCAGGAAUAAGGAUCGGCUAACUACGUGCCAGCAGCCGCGGUAAUACGUAGGAUCCUAGCGUUAUCCGAAUUUACUGGGCGUAAAGCGCGUGCAGGCGGUUUGGUAAGUUGGAUGUGAAAGCUCCUGGCUCAACUGGGAGAGGCCGUUCAAAACUACCAGACUAGAGGACGGUAGAGGGAGGUGGAAUUCCCGGUGUAGUAGUGAAAUGCGUAGAUAUCGGGAGGAACACCAGUGGCGAAAGCGGCCUCCUGGACCGUUC
rnacentral:rRNA from 1 species